rnacentral:rRNA from 1 species
UACGGAGGGUGCGAGCGUUGUCCGGAAUCACUGGGCGUAAAGGGCGCGUAGGUGGCGACCCAAGUCAACGGUGAAAGCUCGGCGCUCAACGCCGAGUCGGCCGUCGAUACUGGGAUGCUUGAGCACUGUAGAGGCAGAUGGAAUUCCGGGUGUAGCGGUGGAAUGCGUAGAGAUCCGGAAGAACACCGGUGGCGAAGGCGGUCUGCUGGGCAGUAGCUGACACUGAGGCGCGACAGCGUGGGGGAGCAAACAGG